AUCGAUGAAGAACGCAGCGAAAUGCGAUAAGUAGUGUGAAUUGCAGAAUUCAGUGAAUCAUCGAAUCUUUGAACGCACAUUGCGCCCCUUGGUAUUCCAUGGGGCAUGCCUGUUCGAGCGUCAUUUGUACCUUCAAGCUCUGCUUGGUGUUGGGUGUUUGUCUCGCCUUUGCGUGUAGACUCGCCUCAAAACAAUUGGCAGCCGGCGUAUUGAUUUCGGAGCGCAGUACAUCUCGCGCUUUGCACUCAUAACGACGACGUCCAAAAGUACAUUUUUACACUCUUGACCUCGGAUCAGGUAGGGAUACCCGCUGAACUUAA
rnacentral:rRNA from 1 species